UUCUCUUUUUUUUUGCAACAGUUACACAAUCGAGGGGUCCCUGGAGAUUCCCGUCUAGGUGACGAUUACAAUAUUCCCCACUGGAUAAACCACAGCUUCUACACCUCCAAGAGUCAGCUUUAUUAUAAUAGCUUCACUCCUCGCAUUAAACUUGCAGCAAGGAAGGCUCCAGCAGAAAGAGGCAAAAGUAAUAAAGAUAACACAAUAGGUGCGAGCAGCCCGAAGGAAUCUGAGAGCAGCCUUCCCAUCCAAGUUGAUUAUGAUGCAUACGAUGCUCAGGUAUUCCGGUUACCUGGACCAUCUCGGGUGCAACGACCCACCUCUUUCAGGCCUGUUCGAGAGAGCCACACCAGGAAAAGUUCCAGCUCCUACGAUGUUUCGAACAGUCCGCCCCACCACAGAGGGGCGCUGCUUCUGGAGGAGGUCAGGAGUCAGGCCUCUGAUGACAGCUCUCUCGGGAAGAUCUCCAAUAUUCUCCUGAUCCCGCGCCCCCACCUCCACCAGUACGAAGUUAGCAGCUCUCUGGGGUACACCAGCACCAGGGGUAAGGGUACGACUUUUGGCAU